rnacentral:rRNA from 1 species
CCGGCGAUUUCCGAAUGGGGAAACCCAGUGUGUUUCGACACACUAUCAUUAACUGAAUCCAUAGGUUAAUGAGGCGAACCGGGGGAACUGAAACAUCUAAGUACCCCGAGGAAAAGAAAUCAACCGAGAUUCCCCCAGUAGCGGCGAGCGAACGGGGAGGAGCCCAGAGCCUGAAUCAGUGUGUGUGUUAGUGGAAGCGUCUGGAAAGGCGCGCGAUACAGGGUGACAGCCCCGUACACAAAAAUGCACAUAUUGUGAGCUCGAUGAGUAGGGCGGGACACGUGGUAUCCUGUCUGAAUAUGGGGGGACCAUCCUCCAAGGCUAAAUACUCCUGACUGACCGAUAGUGAACCAGUACCGUGAGGGAAAGGCGAAAAGAACCCCGGCGAGGGGAGUGAAAAAGAACCUGAAACCGUGUACGUACAAGCAGUGGGAGCCUCUUAAUGGGGUGACUGCGUACCUUUUGUAUAAUGGGUCAGCGACUUAUAUUCUGUAGCAAGGUUAACCGAAUAGGGGAGCCGAAGGGAAACCGAGUCUUAACUGGGCGUUAAGUUGCAGGGUAUAGACCCGAAACCCGGUGAUCUAGCCAUGGGCAGGUUGAAGGUUGGGUAACACUAACUGGAGGACCGAACCGACUAAUGUUGAAAAAUUAGCGGAUGACUUGUGGCUGGGGGUGAAAGGCCAAUCAAACCGGGAGAUAGCUGGUUCUCCCCGAAAGCUAUUUAGGUAGCGCCUCGUGAAUUCAUCUCCGGGGGUAGAGCACUGUUUCGGCAAGGGGGUCAUCCCGACUUACCAACCCGAUGCAAACUGCGAAUACCGGAGAAUGUUAUCACGGGAGACACACGGCGGGUGCUAACGUCCGUCGUGAAGAGGGAAACAACCCAGACCGCCAGCUAAGGUCCCAAAGUCAUGGUUAAGUGGGAAACGAUGUGGGAAGGCCCAGACAGCCAGGAUGUUGGCUUAGAAGCAGCCAUCAUUUAAAGAAAGCGUAAUAGCUCACUGGUCGAGUCGGCCUGCGCGGAAGAUGUAACGGGGCUAAACCAUGCACCGAAGCUGCGGCAGCGACACUAUGUGUUGUUGGGUAGGGGAGCGUUCUGUAAGCCUGUGAAGGUGGCCUGUGAGGGUUGCUGGAGGUAUCAGAAGUGCGAAUGCUGACAUAAGUAACGAUAAAGCGGGUGAAAAGCCCGCUCGCCGGAAGACCAAGGGUUCCUGUCCAACGUUAAUCGGGGCAGGGUGAGUCGACCCCUAAGGCGAGGCCGAAAGGCGUAGUCGAUGGGAAACAGGUUAAUAUUCCUGUACUUGGUGUUACUGCGAAGGGGGGACGGAGAAGGCUAUGUUGGCCGGGCGACGGUUGUCCCGGUUUAAGCGUGUAGGCUGGUUUUCCAGGCAAAUCCGGAAAACCAAGGCUGAGGCGUGAUGACGAGGCACUACGGUGCUGAAG